rnacentral:rRNA from 1 species
UACGUAGGGUGCGAGCGUUAAUCGGAAUUACUGGGCGUAAAGCGUGCGCAGGCGGUUCGCUGUGUCCGAUGUGGAAGCCCCGGGCUCAACCUGGGAAUGGCAUGGGAAACUGGCGGGCUGGAGUGUGGCAGAGGGGGGUGGAAUUCCGGGUGUAGCGGUGGAAUGCGUAGAGAUCCGGAAGAACACCGGAGGCGAAGGCGGCUUGCUGGGCGUUGUCUGACGCUGAGGCGCGAAAGCGUGGGGAGCGAACAGG